rnacentral:rRNA from 1 species
UACGGGGGAGCAAGCGUUGUUCGGAUUUACUGGGCGUAAAGGGCGCGUAGGCGGCCUCUGCAAGUCGACUGUGAAAUCUCCGGGCUUAACCCGGAACGGUCAGCCGAUACUGCAGGGCUAGAGUGCAGAAGGGGCAACUGGAAUUCUCGGUGUAGCGGUGAAAUGCGUAGAUAUCGAGAGGAACACCUGCGGCGAAGGCGGGUUGCUGGGCUGACACUGACGCUGAUGCGCGAAAGCUAGGGGAGCGAACGGG